UUACGGCCAUAUCGCGUUGAAACACCGAUUCCCGCACGAUCACCGAAGUUAAGCGUGCGUGGUCCCUACCUAGACGGGUGACGGUUUGGGAACACCAGGUGCUGUGA